UCUGGNUCAGCUGGGGGCGUGCGGUGGGUACGGGCUGGCUUGAGUGCGGUAGGGGAGGCUGGAACUCCUGGUGUAGCGGUGGAAUGCGCAGAUAUCAGGAGGAACACCGGUGGCGAAGGCGGGUCUCUGGGCCGUUACUGACGCUGAGGAGCGAAAGCGUGGGGAGCGAACAGGAUUAGAUACCCUGGUAGUCCACGCUGUAAACGUUGGGCACUGGGUGUGGGGGGUCUUUCCGGGUCCUCCGCGCCGUAGCUAACGCAUUAAGUGCCCCGCCUGGGGAGUACGGCCGCAAGGCUAAAACUCAAAGGAAUUGACGGGGGCCCGCACAAGCGGCGGAGCAUGCGGAUUAAUUCGAUGCAACGCGAAGAACCUUACCAAGGCUUGACAUGUGCCGGUUGUCCUUCGGAGACGGGGGGUCCUCCCUAUUUGUGGGGGUCGGUUCACAGGUGGUGCAUGGUUGUCGUCAGCUCGUGUCGUGAGAUGUUGGGUUAAGUCCCGCAACGAGCGCAACCCUUGUCCCGUGUUGCCAGCACGUCGUGGUGGGGACUCGCGGGAGACUGCCGGGGUUAACUCGGAGGAGGGUGGGGAUGACGUCAAAUCAUCAUGCCCCUUAUGUCUUGGGCUUCACGCAUGCUACAAUGGCCGGUACAGUGGGUUGCGAUGUCGUGAGGCGGAGCGAAUCCCUUAAAGCCGGUCUCAGUUCGGAUCGGUGUCUGCAACUCGACACCGUGAAGCUGGAGUCGCUAGUAAUCGCAGAUCAGCAGCGCUGCGGUGAAUACGUUCUCGGGCCUUGUACACACCGCCCGUCACGUCAUGAAAGCUGGCAACACCCGAAGCCCGUGGCCCUAUGGGGA
rnacentral:rRNA from 1 species